CUCUUAUCAAGAGCAGGUGGAGGGAAAUGGCCCGAUGAAGCCCGGCAACCGACUGUAAUACCAUUGCGAAAUGGGGCGUACAAAUUACGCCGCGGUUAUAACCGCUUAAAGCACGGUGCUAAUUCCUGCAGUAGCAAUACUGCAAGAUAAGAG
rnacentral:ncRNA from 1 species